GACGAACGCUGGCUGCGUGCUUAACACAUGCAAGUCGAACGCUGAAGCCUGGUGCUUGCACCGGGUGGAUGAGUGGCGAACGGGUGAGUAACACGUGAGUAACCUGCCCCUGACUUCGGGAUAAGCCCGGGAAACUGGGUCUAAUACCGGAUACGACUGCCGGACGCAUGUCUGGUGGUGGAAAGUUUUUUCGGUUGGGGAUGGGCUCGCGGCCUAUCAGUUUGUUGGUGAGGUAAUGGCUCACCAAGACGACGACGGGUAGCCGGCCUGAGAGGGCGACCGGCCACACUGGGACUGAGACACGGCCCAGACUCCUACGGGAGGCAGCAGUGGGGAAUAUUGCACAAUGGGGGAAACCCUGAUGCAGCGACGCGGCGUGCGGGAUGACGGCCUUCGGGUUGUAAACCGCUUUCAGCAGGGAAGAAGCGCAAGUGACGGUACCUGCAGAAGAAGUACCGGCUAACUACGUGCCAGCAGCCGCGGUAAUACGUAGGGUACGAGCGUUGUCCGGAAUUAUUGGGCGUAAAGAGCUCGUAGGUGGCUGGUCACGUCUGCUGUGGAAACGCAACGCUUAACGUUGCGCGUGCAGUGGGUACGGGCUGACUAGAGUGCAGUAGGGGAGUCUGGAAUUCCUGGUGUAGCGGUGAAAUGCGCAGAUAUCAGGAGGAACACCGGUGGCGAAGGCGGGACUCUGGGCUGUAACUGACACUGAGGAGCGAAAGCAUGGGGAGCGAACAGGAUUAGAUACCCUGGUAGUCCAUGCCGUAAACGUUGGGCACUAGGUGUGGGGGGCAUUCCACGUUCUCCGCGCCGUAGCUAACGCAUUAAGUGCCCCGCCUGGGGAGUACGGUCGCAAGGCUAAAACUCAAAGGAAUUGACGGGGGCCCGCACAAGCGGCGGAGCAUGCGGAUUAAUUCGACGCAACGCGAAGAACCUUACCAAGGCUUGACAUACACCGGACCGUCCUGGAAACAGGUCCUCUUCUUUGAAGCUGGUGUACAGGUGGUGCAUGGUUGUCGUCAGCUCGUGUCGUGAGAUGUUGGGUUAAGUCCCGCAACGAGCGCAACCCUCGUUCUAUGUUGCCAGCAUGUGAUGGUGGAACUCAUAGGAGACUGCCGGGGUCAACUCGGAGGAAGGUGGGGAUGACGUCAAAUCAUCAUGCCCUUUAUGUCUUGGGCUUCACGCAUGCUACAAUGGCUGGUACAGAGAGAGGCGAACCCGUGAGGGCAAGCGAAUCCCUUAAAGCCAGUCUCAGUUCGGAUCGUAGUCUGCAAUUCGACUACGUGAAGUCGGAGUCGCUAGUAAUCGCAGAUCAGCAACGCUGCGGUGAAUACGUUCCCGGGCCU
rnacentral:rRNA from 1 species